rnacentral:rRNA from 1 species
CGCAGCCGCGGUAAUUCCAGCUCCAAUAGCGUAUAUUAAAGUUGUUGCAGUUAAAAAGCUCGUAGUUGAACUUCAGGCCUGGCUGGACGGUCCGCCCUCUGGGUGAGCACUGUCUGUGGUCGGGUCCUACCUUCUGGCGAAGCGGCAUGGCCUUAACCGGCCGUGGCGGGGAACCAGGACUUUUACUGUGAAAAAAUUAGAGUGUUCAAAGCAGGCACGCGCUUGAAUACAUUAGCAUGGAAUAAUGGAAUAGGACAAUGGUUCUAUUUGUUGGUUUCUAGGACCGUUGUAAUGAUUAAUAGGGAUAGUUGGGGGCAUUAGUAUUCAAUUGUCAGAGGUGAAAUUCUUGGAUUUAUUGAAGACUAACUACUGCGAAAGCAUUUGCCAAGGACGUUUUCAUUAAUCAAGAACGAAAGUUAGGGGAUCGAAGACGAUCAGAUACCGUCGUAGUCUUAACCAUAAACUAUGCCGACUAGGGAAUCGGGGCGAUGUUAACAAGUUGACGCGCUCGGCGACCUCA